UACGGGGGGGGCAAGCGUUGUUCGGAAUUACUGGGCGUAAAGGGCUUGUAGGUGGCCAACUAAGUCAGACGUGAAAUCCCUCGGCUUAACCGGGGAACUGCGUCUGAUACUGGAUGGCUGGAGUGUGGGAGAGGGAUGCGGAAUUCCAGGUGUAGCGGUGAAAUGCGUAGAUAUCAGGAGGAACACCGGUGGCGAAGGCGGGAUCCUGGGCCAGUACUGACGCUGAGGAGCGAAAGCGUGGGGAGCAAACAGG
rnacentral:rRNA from 1 species